rnacentral:rRNA from 1 species
AGAGUUUGAUCCUGGCUCAGAUUGAACGCUGGCGGCAUGCCUUACACAUGCAAGUCGAACGGCAGCGCGGGGGCAACCCUGGCGGCGAGUGGCGAACGGGUGAGUAAUAUAUCGGAACGUACCCAUGAGUGGGGGAUAACGCAGCGAAAGUUGCGCUAAUACCGCAUAAGCUCUAUGGAGGAAAGUGGGGGACUCGCAAG